UUUUUCUUCAGACCGAUGCUUCGGACAAAGGAAUCUCCGGUAUACUGAGUCAGUGCGUGAAAGGUGUUCUGCAUCCCGUCAAGUAUGUGAGUCGCAAGUUGUUGCCUCGGGAGCAGAGGUAUUCCAUCAUCGAGAGAGAAGGCUUGGCUAUUGUAUUUGCCAUUAGAAAACUGGACAGAUACCUUAGGGGAACGACGUUUCACCUUCAGACAGACCACAAGGCCUUGGCUUACCUCCGGAGCACGAACUUUACGAACCACCGUGUUACGAGGUGGGCGCUGAUGCUCCAGGACUACAAUUUCGACGUGUGUCACAUAAAAGGAGAGGACAAUAUACUUGCAGACUUGUGCUCAAGACUGGUGUGAUUCGCACAAAAAGACUAUUUUAUUAUAGCUAUUGCUUGAUAUGUAUGAAUAUGUAUGUAAUAUGUACUGCUUGUUUUUAUUAUGCAUUGUAAUGUUAUAAUAGUUUAUGAUGGAUGUUGUUAUUUGCGACAUCAUCUAUGUAAAUAAUUCUGUAAUUUCAACUUUAUGAAGGUUGUAUUCUUCGGCUUCAAUGUUGGGCAAUGUUUCCUAAUUCCUUUUGCUGUCUAUAUACUUCAGUUUUCAAUUUCUUUUUUUGAAGACUGGACUUGUUUUCGCAAGAUCCAGUUAGAGGGAGAGGGGGGAUGUCGUGCGCAUCUGGUAGGGUAUUUUCGUUUGAACACCAUAAGGUCUUAUUAGUUCUGUUUCUAAGGAUGCGCUAUAUUGGUGUCAUUGUUCUUUUGUUGUGCCUUGAGAUGAGUCUCUUUGUGUUCUCUUGGUGUGCCUUGAGAUUGAGUUAUCUGUGUGGUGUUAUUCCCCAGUAUUGGGGACGCAGGCUUGGGACUCUGCUGGAGUCAAGUCUGAGUUGUAGGCUUUGUAGUUGACUAUUGCCCGUGGCGUUGGGUUGGCGUUGUGAAGCCUGAUUGACUAUGGCACUGAGAUUAAGGUGUGCUAUAGCCCUUUGAAUGUAAUCUGUAAUUGCCAUUGAUAUUUAUUCAUAAUGUAUGCCUCAUAAUAUCAUAUAUAUCAUUAACUCAUUAAACCUUUGUUGUUAUA